rnacentral:rRNA from 1 species
CCUACGGGUGGCAGCAGUCGAGAAUCAUUCACAAUGGGGGAAACCCUGAUGGUGCGACGCCGCGUGGGGGAAUGAAGGUCUUCGGAUUGUAAACCCCUGUCAUGUGGGAGCAAAUUAAAAAGAUCGUACCACAAGAGGAAGAGACGGCUAACUCUGUGCCAGCAGCCGCGGUAAUACAGAGGUCUCAAGCGUUGUUCGGAAUCACUGGGCGUAAGGCGUGCGUAGGCUGUUUUGUAAGUCGUGUGUGAAAGGCGCGGGCUCAACCCGCGGACGGCACAUGAUACUGCGAGACUAGAGUAAUGGAGGGGGAACCGGAAUUCUCGGUGUAGCAGUGAAAUGCGUAGAUAUCGAGAGGAACACUCGUGGCGAAGGCGGGUUCCUGGACAUUAACUGACGCUGAGGCACGAAGGCCAGGGGAGCGAAAGGGAUUAGAUACCCGGGUAGUC